rnacentral:rRNA from 1 species
GACGAGCGCUGGCGGCGUGCUUAACACAUGCAAGUCGAACGAUGAAGCUAGAGCUUGCUCUGGUGAAUUAGUGGCGAACGGGUGAGUAACACGUGAGUAACCUGCCCCGAACUCUGGGAUAACUGCUGGAAACGGUAGCUAAUACUGGAUACGACCUACGAAGGCAUCUUCUGUAGGUGGAAAGAAUUUCGGCUCGGGAUGGACUCGCGGCCUAUCAGCUUGUUGGUGAGGUAAUGGCUCACCAAGGCGACGACGGGUAGCCGGCCUGAGAGGGUGACCGGCCACACUGGGACUGAGACACGGCCCAGACUCCUACGGGAGGCAGCAGUGGGGAAUAUUGCACAAUGGGCGCAAGCCUGAUGCAGCAACGCCGCGUGAGGGAUGACGGCCUUCGGGUUGUAAACCUCUUUUAGUAGGGAAGAAGCGAAAGUGACGGUACCUGCAGAAAAAGCACCGGCUAACUACGUGCCAGCCGCCGCGGUAA